rnacentral:lncRNA from 1 species
CCUCCAAGAAGUGAAGAUGUUCUAAACGUCUUUGAUUGCCAAAAGAUUCAAACCCUAGGGUGUUUAGGUCUUUAAAUAGGACAUAAAAAUAAAAGAAAACAGGUCCAAGCCGAAACAAAUAAUAAAAAUCGUAGAAAACAGGUCCAAGCCCGCGUCCCCGGCGCUCAACGCUCCCUACGACACUAAAACUGGCACUCAGCGACCUGCGGCACUAAAACUGGUGCUCAGCGCCCCUGGAGGGCGCCCGGGCGCCACCUGCGGCAUAAAACUGCACUCUGGUCAACUUUUCACCAUUCUGGUCAACUGGUUGACUUUUCUGGUUGACUAGUUGACUUUUAUGAAUCCUGGUUGACUUUUCU